rnacentral:misc_RNA from 1 species
AACGCACGAGACCUGCGGACCUGCGGAAGGAUCAUUACCGAGUUUACAACUCCCAAACCCAAUGUGAACGUUACCAAACUGUUGCCUCGGCGGGACCUCUGCCCCGGGUGCGUCGCAGCCCCGGACCAAGGCGCCCGCCGGAGGACCAACCAAAACUCUUUUGUAUACCCCCUCGCGGGUUUUUAUAUCUGAGCCAUCUCGGCGCCUCUCGUAGGCGUUUCGAAAAUGAAUCAAAACUUU